rnacentral:rRNA from 1 species
ACGAACGCUGGCGGCGUGCCUAAUACAUGCAAGUCGAACGGUCUUUCUAUGGAAGCUUGCUUCCACUGAGAAGAUAGUGGCGAACGGGUGAGUAACACGUGGGUAACCUGCCCAUAAGAGGGGGAUAACAUCCGGAAACGGGUGCUAAUACCGCAUGGUUUUUCUUGAUCGCAUGAUUGAGAAAGGAAAGAUGGCCUUUGUGCUGUCGCUUAUGGAUGGACCCGCGGCGUAUUAGUUAGUUGGUGAGGUAACGGCUCACCAAGACGAUGAUACGUAGCCGACCUGAGAGGGUGAUCGGCCACAUUGGGACUGAGACACGGCCCAAACUCCUACGGGAGGCAGCAGUAGGGAAUCUUCCGCAAUGGACGAAAGUCUGACGGAGCAACGCCGCGUGAGUGAAGGUAAAGGUUUUCAGAUACGUAAAACUCUGUUGUCAGAGAAGAACAAGUUGGAGAGUAACUGCUCCAGCCUUGACGGUAUCUGACCAAGAAAGCCACGGCUAACUACGUGCCAGCCGCGGC